AGUGAACGCUGGCGGUAGGCCUAACACAUGCAAGUCGAACGGCAGCACAGUAAGAGCUUGCUCUUACGGGUGGCGAGUGGCGGACGGGUGAGGAAUACAUCGGAAUCUACUUUUUCGUGGGGGACAACGUAGGGAAACUUACGCUAAUACCGCAUACGACCUACGGGUGAAAGCAGGGGAUCUUCGGACCUUGCGCGAUUGAAUGAGCCGAUGUCGGAUUAGCUAGUUGGCGGGGUAAAGGCCCACCAAGGCGACGAUCCGUAGCUGGUCUGAGAGGAUGAUCAGCCACACUGGAACCGAGACACGGUCCAGACUCCUACGGGAGGCAGCAGUGGGGAAUAUUGGACAAUGGGCGCAAGCCUGAUCCAGCCAUACCGCGUGGGUGAAGAAGGCCUUCGGGUUGUAAAGCCCUUUUGUUGGGAAAGAAAAGCAGCAGGUUAAUACCCCGCUGUUCUGACGGUACCCAAAGAAUAAGCACCGGCUAACUUCGUG
rnacentral:rRNA from 1 species